rnacentral:rRNA from 1 species
UGCGUAGGCGGGUCUUUAAGUCAGGGGUGAAAUCCUGGAGCUCAACUCCAGAACUGCCCUUGAUACUGAGGAUCUUGAGUUCGGGAGAGGUGAGUGGAACUGCGAGUGUAGAGGUGAAAUUCGUAGAUAUUCGCAAGAACACCAGUGGCGAAGGCGGCUCACUGGCCCGAUACUGACGCUGAGGCACGAAAGCGUGGGGAGCAAACA